AGCGAACGCUGGCGGCAGGCCUAACACAUGCAAGUCGAACGAACCUUUCGGUGUUAGUGGCGGACGGGUGAGUAACACGUGGGAACGUGCCUUUAGGUUCGGAAUAACUCAGGGAAACUUGUGCUAAUACCGAAUGUGCCCUUCGGGGGAAAGAUUAAUCGCCUUUAGAGCGGCCCGCGUCUGAUUAGCUAGUUGGUUGAGGUAAUGGCUCACCAAGGCGACGAUCAGUAGCUGGUCUGAGAGGAUGAGCAGCCACAUUGGGACUGAGACACGGCCCAAACUCCUACGGGAGGCAGCAGUGGGGAAUCUUGCGCAAUGGGCGAAAGCCUGACGCAGCCAUGCCGCGUGAAUGAUGAAGGUCUUAGGAUUGUAAAAUUCUUUCACCGGGGACGAUAAUGACGGUACCCGGAGAAGAAGCCCCGGCUAACUUCGUG
rnacentral:rRNA from 1 species